UACAGAGGUGGCAAGCGUUGUUCGGAAUUACUGGGCGUAAAGGGCGCGUAGGCGGCCAUCUAAGUCAGACGUGAAAUCCCCCGGCUUAACCUGGGAACUGCGUCUGAUACUGGAAGGCUUGAGUAUGGGAGAGGGAUGUAGAAUUCCCGGUGUAGCAGUGAAAUGCGUAGAUAUCGGGAGGAACAUCUGUGGCGAAGGCGACACCCUGGACCAGCACUGACACUGAGGCACGAAAGCGUGGGGAGCAAACAGG
rnacentral:rRNA from 1 species